UACGUAGGUGGCAAGCGUUGUCCGGAAUUAUUGGGCGUAAAGCGCGCGCAGGCGGCCUUUUAAGUCUGAUGUGAAAGCCCACGGCUCAACCGUGGAAGGUCAUUGGAAACUGAAAGGCUUGAGUACAGAAGAGGAAAGCGGAAUUCCACGUGUAGCGGUGAAAUGCGUAGAUAUCAGGAGGAAUACCGAUGGCGAAGGCAGGUCUCUGGGCUGACACUGACGCUCAUGCACGAAAGCGUGGGGAGCAAACAGG
rnacentral:rRNA from 1 species